rnacentral:rRNA from 1 species
GACGAACGCUGGCGGCGUGCUUAACACAUGCAAGUCGAACGGAAAGGCCCUGCUUUUGUGGGGUGCUCGAGUGGCGAAAGGGUGAGUAACACGUGAGUAACCUGCCCUUUACUUUGGGAUAACUUCAGGAAACUGGGGCUAAUACCGGAUAGGAUCUCCUGCUGCAUGGUGGGGGUUGGAAAGUUUCGGCGGUUGGGGAUGUACUCGCGGCUUAUCAGCUUGUUGGUGGGGUAGUGGAUUACCAAGGCUUUGCCGGGUAGCCGGCCUGAGAGGGUGACCGGCCACAUUGGGACUGAGAUACGGCCCAGACUCCUACGGGAGGCAGCAGUGGGGAAUAUUGCACAAUGGGCGGAAGCCUGAUGCAGCAACGCCGCGUGCGAGAUGACGGCCUUCGGGUUGUAAACCGCUUUCGCCUGUGACGAAGAGUGAGUGACGGUAAUGGGUAAAGAAGCACCGGCUAACUACGUG